UACGUAGGGGGCAAGCGUUACUCGGAUUUACUGGGCGUAAAGGGCGUGUAGGCGGUCUUUCAAGUCCGAUGCUAAAGUCUGGGGCUCAACCCCAGGACUGCGUUGGAUACUGUGAGGCUAGACGGUCGGAGGGGGUAGCGGAAUUUCCGGAGUAGCGGUGAAAUGCGCAGAUACCGGAAGGAACGCCAAUAGCGAAGGCAGCUACCUGGACGACUUGUGACGCUGAGGCGCGAAAGCGUGGGGAGCAAACCGG
rnacentral:rRNA from 1 species